rnacentral:rRNA from 1 species
UACGGGGGGGGCGAGCGUUGUUCGGAAUCACUGGGCGUAAAGGGCGCGUAGGCGGCCCGCUCACGUCUGCGGUGAAAACCCCCGGCUUAACCGGGGGCCGGCCGUGGAAACUGUCGGGCUGGAGGCUGGGAGAGGGCAGCGGAAUUCCCGGUGUAGCGGUGAAAUGCGUAGAGAUCGGGAGGAACACCGGCGGCGAAGGCGGCUGCCUGGACCAGUCCUGACGCUGAGGCGCGAAAGCUAGGGGAGCAAACAGG